rnacentral:rRNA from 1 species
UACGUACUGUGCGAACGUUAUUCGGAAUCACUGGGCUUAAAGGGUGCGUAGGCGGCGAACUAAGUAGGGUGUGAAAUCCCAUGGCUCAACCAUGGAACUGCGCUCUAAACUGGUUUGCUUGAGUUAGAUAGGGGUGUGCGGAACUUCAAGUGGAGCGGUGAAAUGUGUAGAUAUUUGAAGGAACACCGGUGGCGAAAGCGGCACACUGGGUCUUAACUGACGCUGAGGCACGAAAGCCAGGGUAGCGAACGGGAUUAGAUACCCCCGUAGUCC